AGGUGAACCUGCGGAAGGAUCAUUAAUGAGAGAGGGCCCCCCGGGGUCCAACCUCCCACCCGUGUUUAAUUGUACCUUGUUGCUUCGGCAGGCCCGCCUCACGGCCGCCGGGGGGCUUCUGCCCCCGGGCCCGCGCCUGCCGGAGACAAUCUUGAACUCUGUCUGAAGAAUGCAGUCUGAGCGAUAAGCAAAAUUAGUUAAAACUUUCAACAACGGAUCUCUUGGUUCCGGCAUCGAUGAAGAACGCAGCGAAAUGCGAUAAUUAAUGUGAAUUGCAGAAUUCAGUGAAUCAUCGAGUCUUUGAACGCACAUUGCGCCCCCUGGUAUUCCGGGGGGCAUGCCUGUCCGAGCGUCAUUGCUGCCCUCAAGCCCGGCUUGUGUGUUGGGCCCUGCUCCCCCGGGGGCAGGCCCGAAAGGCAGUGGCGGCACCGCGUCCGGUCCUCGAGCGUAUGGGGCUUUGUCACCCGCUCUGUAGGCCCGGCCGGCGCUUGCCGACCCCCAUCAAUCUAUUUUCAAGUUGACCUCGGAUCAGGUAGGGAUACCCGCUGAACUUAAGCAUAUCAAUAAGCGGAG
rnacentral:rRNA from 1 species